rnacentral:rRNA from 1 species
GGGUGAGUAACACGUGAGUAACCUGCCCUUGACUCUGGGAUAAGCCUGGGAAACUGGGUCUAAUACCGGAUAUGACUCCUCAUCGCAUGGUGGGGGGUGGAAAGCUUUUUGUGGUUUUGGAUGGACUCGCGGCCUAUCAGCUUGUUGGUGAGGUAAUGGCUUACCAAGGCGACGACGGGUAGCCGGCCUGAGAGGGUGACCGGCCACACUGGGACUGAGACACGGCCCAGACUCCUACGGGAGGCAGCAGUGGGGAAUAUUGCACAAUGGGCGAAAGCCUGAUGCAGCGACGCCGCGUGAGGGAUGACGGCCUUCGGGUUGUAAACCUNCUUUCAGUAGGGAAGAAGCGAAAGUGACGGUACCUGCAGAAGAAGCGCCGGGCUAACUACGUGCCCAGCAGCCGCGGUAAUACGUAGGGCGCAAGCGUUAUCCGGGAAUUAUUGGGCGUAAAGAGCUCGUAGGCGGUUUGUCGCGUCUGCCGUGAAAGUCCGGGGGCUCAACUCCGGAUCUGCGGUGGGUACGGGCAGACUAGAGUGAUGUAGGGGAGACUGGAAUUCCUGGUGUAGCGGUGAAAUGCGCAGAUAUCAGGAGGAACACCGAUGGCGAAGGCAGGUCUCUGGGCAUUAACUGACGCUGAGGAGCGAAAGCAUGGGGAGCGAACAGGAUUAGAUACCCUGGUAGUCCAUGCCGUAAACGUUGGGCACUAGGUGUGGGGGACAUUCCACGUUUUCCGCGCCGUAGCUAACGCAUUAAGUGCCCCGCCUGGGGAGUACGGCCGCAAGGCUAAAACUCAAAGGAAUUGACGGGGGCCCGCACAAGCGGCGGAGCAUGCGGAUUAAUUCGAUGCAACGCGAAGAACCUUACCAAGGCUUGACAUGGACUGGAAAUACCUGGAAACAGGUGCCCCGCUUGCGGCCGGUUCACAGGUGGUGCAUGGUUGUCGUCAGCUCGUGUCGUGAGAUGUUGGGUUAAGUCCCGCAACGAGCGCAACCCUCGUUCUAUGUUGCCAGCGCGUGAUGGCGGGGACUCAUAGGAGACUGCCGGGGUCAACUCGGAGGAAGGUGGGGACGACGUCAAAUCAUCAUGCCCCUUAUGUCUUGGGCUUCACGCAUGCUACAAUGGCCGGUACAAAGGGUUGCGAUACUGUGAGGUGGAGCUAAUCCCAAAAAGCCGGUCUCAGUUCGGAUUGGGGUCUGCAACUCGACCCCAUGAAGUCGGAGUCGCUAGUAAUCGCAGAUCAGCAACGCUGCGGUGAAUACG